UCGGUGAUGAUGGCGGAAGAGGAGCGACGCUAAAUUAUCUGUGCUUUUAUUUAACGGUGAUAAAUCGCUGACACGCAUCGUUUAACUCGCCCCUUUGCUCUUGGGUGAGCAUGGGGAAUGAAGCCAGUCAGGAGGGGGGCGGCCAACCCGGGCAGUCGGCUCCCACACCCACCAGGACGGGCGCUCCUGCUUCUGGUUCAGCACCACCGGGCUCUGGACAGCAAGUGAAGCCGAGUAACGGUGCGCCGGCCGGUGUGAGAGCGGCAGGAGGCGGCCCGGGAGUUAAAAGUGUACCUGCGAAGAAACCUCAGCCCAGCGGAGGGGAUGGAGGAGCGGGGGCAGGAAGGCAGGCCCUGAACAAACAGCCCCCUGCGGCGAAACAGGGCGCUCCCCAGACCCAAGCUGAUAAGGGUGGGAAGACUCCCUCAGCAUCCGAUGGAGGCGGAAGUGCACCAGCUUCGCCGUACACUGUGCCGCAGAUUGCUCCCAUGCCCAGCAGCAACCUGUGCCCUGUGUGCAAGACGGCGGACCUGAAGGCAGACAGCAGCAACACCUGUACCCAGUGCCGCCAGGUGGUGUGCGGCCAGUGCGGCUUCAAUCCCAACCCGCACCUCACUGAGGUCCAGGAGUGGCUAUGCCUGAACUGUCAGAUGCAGAGGGCCCUGGGAAUGGAUAUGACAACCCCCCAAUCCAAGAAGCCGGGGGGUCUGGCUAAGGCUCCAUCCCAACCCGACCUGUCCCGUUCGUCCACCAACCAGUCUGGCCAACAGGAUCAUACGCGGAGUGCUGGUAGCUCCCCCUCCAGGCAGUCUCAGGAGCAGCCGUUAGACAAGCUGUUUGGCUUUGGAGCGUCCAUUCUGAGUCAGGCCAGCACUCUGAUGUCUGUUGAUCCUUUGCUGCCUUCCCAACCCCCACCAGCCCCCACCAAGACACGCCAGGGGCCUGUUUCUGGACCUCCUUCUGGGCCUGCCCCUGCCCCGGGCCUUCAUGCACCCCCUCAACAGCAGCCAGCCCAACGCCCAAAGGAGCUGGGGAAGCUCGAAUCAAACUGUCCUCUGUGCAAAGCAGAGCUGAACGUCAGCAAGUUUUCGGAGCCGCCCAACUACAGUACCUGCACACAGUGCCACACCCGAGUUUGUAACAUGUGUGGCUUCAACCCCACGCCUCACUUGGUUGAGAAAAAAGAAUGGCUCUGCUUAAAUUGUCAGACUCAGAGGGUGAUGUCUGGAGGCUUGGGAGAUGCUGCACUUCCCGUCCCUCAACCGUCUCCACAGCAACCCCAGCCACCAGCCAAUCAGCAGCAAGCACCGCAGCAGAAGGAAACAUGUCAACAGUCUGAACCAAAGCCUGCAAGCCUGGAGUCAGAACAGAAACCUUCUGGGACUGAAACAAGCGGACAGCCAGACAAACUUAAGACGGAACCUGAAAUCCAACCAUCUCCAGCCAAGCCUGAUACCUCCACCGGAAAAACAGAUGGCAAGAAAGAGGAAGAAGCUCAAAGUCUGAAAAAUGAUAAUGAGACGAAAUCCAGCACUCAGAGCCUAAGUGAUACGGGAUAUUCCUCUGAUGGUGUGUCCAGCUCACAGAGUGAGAUCACAGGGAUAAUACAAGAAGAUGCGAAUAAACCCCCCAAUGCUUCUGAGAUCACUAAGCCAGAGAGCAGCGCGCACCAUUGUGAAACUAAAGAAGGUGAUGAUAAGAAGCAACGCCCAUGUUCCUUAUCUAUCACAAAUGAGGGACAUGAAGAGCAACUAGAUGGAAUCAGGGAGGAGGAUUAUAAGAAACCACAGAAAGACACAACAGAUGAAGAGUUUAUGAGAAGCAAGACUGCAGAAAUGAGUAUGGACAGGGAAGACAACCAGACGACUUCACAAGGAGGCCUGCGCCGAUUCAAGACUAUUGAACUGAACAAUACAAAUAGCUACAAUCGUGAUACAGAGCUCAGGAACAACAGGGAACCAGAGCUUGAAAUGGAAAGUCUGACUGGUUCACCUGAUGAGCGUUCAAGGGGAGAAUAUUCAUCAACCCUCUCUGCAACCACAUCCAGCUACACUUCUGCAAUUUCUCCAACUUCUGUCUCAUCUAUGGAGGAAGACAGUGACAGCAGUCCCAGUCGCAAACAGAGGCUUGAGGAUGCCAAACAGCAGCGUAAAGCUCGGCAUCGCUCCCACGGACCGCUCUUGCCCACUAUUGAGGACUCUUCUGAAGAAGAUGAGUUGAGAGAAGAGGAGGAACUUCUCAGAGAGCAGGAAAUGAUGAGAGAAGUGGAACAGCAAGGUAUUCGAAGCACUGCCAGAAAAACAAAAAGGGACAAAGAGGAAUUGAGAGCUCAGAGACGCAGGGAAAGGUCAAAAACACCUCCCAGUAACCUGUCCCCAAUUGAGGAUGCAUCUCCUACGGAGGAGCUCCGACAGGCAGCGGAAAUGGAGGAACUUCACCGGUCAUCUUGCUCAGAAUAUUCUCCAUCUAUUGACUCAGAGGCUGAGGGAUUUGAAAUGAUGACGUCAAAGUCACGCAAGACUGCAAACGAACAUAAUCUUCCAACUUUUAUGUCACUCUAUUCCCCUACUGAAAAACUAACUACCACAUCACCUUGUUCUGCUGAUAAAACACUAAAAAGUACAGAAGUGGCCUAUGAGGAAAUGAUAAGGAAGGCUGAUAUGUUGCAGAAGAGUCAAGGAGAGCAACUGCUAAGUAAUUCUAAGGAAAUUGAAAAACAUUUAUUAGAUGCUAGGUUAACAGCUGCUAAAUUACUGGAGCAAAAUAGAGCUCCUCUGACUCCUGGGACUAGUCCUACGCAAAUUUCAGCCCCAAUCUCUCUUCCUGAUGUUCAUGCUCCUUCCCAAAUAGCAAACAGAAGCAUUUCCAGACAACAGUCCUUGCAAGAAUCCUGCAGCCCUAGUAAGCUGAUGACCAUCAACUCCUCCACAUCUCCACUUUCCUCACCAACAAGACUAAGUCGUCAGUCAACAAUUCAUAGUUAUACACCUGAAUCUAGUUCUCCAACCUCCACACAGCGCCGAUCUCUAUAUCAAUCUCCUCAACACAGCUUUUCUAAAGACAUGCUUCCUAACAGCACAGGAAGAAUGGAAGAAAUGGAAAAUAUAUCCCUCUGCAGACUUUCUACUGUUCCUGGAACAUCCAGGGUUGUUGAGCAAGGCAAGAUUCAACAAAGCAGUAGUAUUGUUGAUCUCAGGGCACCAAUAAAGCCAGCCCCACUCAUUAUGACAGAGCAGGGCAUGGAUUUAACGUCUGUAGCUACAGAAAUACGUAGAUACUCCAUUGGCAGUGAGGUGAAUUAUAGUCGACAUUCUACAGCUGUUCAGCCUCUUAUCAUGAAUCUGAACACUCAUGAACAUCCACGUGUGGCUGCCUCAACACCAACAACAGUGAAUGUCACUGUAGCAGCCUCUAAGUUUAUAUCCCAGCCAAAGAAACCUGUGAUUUAUGGUGACCCUCUGCAGAACAAAGUGGACCUUGGUCAAGGGUUGGGAUCCGCAGUGUGUCUGACUCAAAGCAAAACGUCACCAAACUACGCUUCCAUUCCAAAGAUAGAUGCAUGUCUGGAAGACUUAGGUAUUCAACAACAACAUCUGCAGUUGCAGCAAGAGAAAUUACAAAAACAGAAGGAGAAGCUUGAACAACAACUCCAGGCAGCUUCAUUUGCUAGAUAUAACUUGGCUAAUCAAGCCCAGCCUAUGCUCUUGAAAAAAGACCUUCUGGUGUGCCAGACUAGCAAUCCCCAGGCACCUGUUAGCAGGUGUACAAUAUCCAGGACAUCUUCUCUUCCAUCACAAACUGUUUCUUCAGCAUCACAUGACAUCUAUUGUGGCAUCCCUCUGGAGCUGAAGUCUAAACCCACUGCUGUGAAUCUGACUAUGGGCAAAUCUCAUACUAUGAUGGUGCAGCUGGUGGACAGCACUUCUCAAGGGAAAACAGUUACACAGUUGGUUAAAAAAUCAGAACUGCCUAACCAGGAGGUUCUGGACUUGACUGGGCAGAUAAAGGCAGAGACCCAGUUGGCAUGUUGUGAUGUAGUCUACAACUUGCCUUUUGGAGGAAGUUGCAAGGGACCCUUCAGUCAGAAAGUAAUGCUAGAAGAGAAGAUGUCUGCUACAGAUGCCUCAAAAACCAGUUAUUCAGCCCCUGGUCCUGAGGUCAGUGGGAAACUCCAGGCAGAGCCUCGUCAAGAAAGUCACCAGUAUCAAGAACAUGCUUCAGUCAACCAAAAUGUAAAUGAAGACAACAAAUCCCAACCUGCAUCUAUAUCUGGACAACCUGCAUCUAUAUCUGGACAACCUGCAUCUAUAUCUGGACAACCUGUAUCUGGACCACCUGUAUCUGUAUGCAAGCAACCUGAACUGGUAUCUGGACCACAAGUAUCUCUAUCUGGACAACCUGGUUCUGAACUACCUGUAUCUGUAUCUGCACAACCUGGAUCUGUAUGCCCACAACCAUCUUUAUCAAAUAUUGAUUUUGUUGAUGCUGGACUCCAAGGUGAUCAGUCUAAAGCUAACCCUGGAACAGAUUUGAAUACCAUACAGAAAGGUUACGUAGGAGGUUACCUUGGAGUAGGUGCGCAGUAUGGAUCCUACACAGAUCUACGGCAACAAAAUAACAUAGGUCAGUCAUUCCCUAUGCGAAGGUAUGGAUCCAUGUCCAGCAUUAACACAGACUAUGGUUAUUCCCCUAUCCCAGAAUCCAGUUUAGCUCAGUAUAGUGCGACCACUGCCCGGGAAAUCAGUCGAAUGUGUGCUGCUUUGAACUCAAUGGACCAGGUUGGGGGAAGAUAUGGAAAUAAUCCUGAAGUUUUCCAGUAUGGUUCUGUAGCAGGAGGCAAUCCUCUAGGCAGAUCCAGCUUACAACAAGGUUUAACAUCAGUGAGAGCUAGCCUCAUUUAUGGUCAUAAUGGGGGACACCCGGCACAAGGUCAAGUAUAUGCGAAUUUAAUCAAUUCAAAUCAAGCUAGUCUACGAUAUCCCUCAACUGUUAGAUCUGCAGAUGGCAUGAUUUAUUCUACUAUAAACACCCCAAUAGCUUCCACAUUGCCAAUCACAACCCAACCUGCCUCAGUUCUAUGUCCCACGCUACAGGGAAUUUACAGACCCUACCCACCUGGCAAUCUGACUUCAGUACCUUUAGCUAGCCUCACCAGGUUACCUCAAGUAACUCCAAGAAUGCCUCUUUCUGCACAGGGACCUUAUCGUUAUCCUCCACCCAGCCGUUUCCCUUCAGGCCCCUGUGCAGCUGCCAAUGCAACACCCCAGAUUCCAAUCUAUCUUGGAAAGCCUUCUAUAAAACCUACAGUGCCCAGUACUAUGCAGACAGCUGAAUCUUUACCACCAGCUCAGUCUAGCCAACAAGUCACACAUCCCGCAUCUCUCAUGGUGUCCACACAACAACAAUCCCAAUCUCACUUUACGAUGCAAAUUGCACCAAAAAUUCUAGUGCAACCCCAAACUCAAACACAAUCACAAAUUCAAAUGCAACCUCAAACACACCAGAAUAUCCCCCGGGCUGCACAAGCUACAACAAUCAAAACUAGCAACCCAGAAAAAGAGAAAGAGGAAGAGAAGUUGCGUCAAAAGCAGGAACAGCUGUUGCAGUUAGAGCGAGAACGUGUGGAGCUGGAGAAAUUACGUCACUUGCGAUUACAAGAAGAACUUGAAAGAGAUCGCAUGGAGUUACAGCGACACAGAGAAAAAGAACAAUUGUUGGUUCAGCGUGAGAUUCAAGAGCUGCAGAGUAUCAAGCAACAGGUCCUACAGCAACAACAUGCUGAAAGGGAAACUCAGUUGGUCUUGCAAAGGGAACAGUUAGCUCAACAGAAAGUGCAACUGGACCAGAUCCAAUCACUGCAGCAACAGCUCCAACAACAUCUUGAGGAGCAGAAGAGACAGAAGACAGCUGAGACAAUUACUCCAGCUGCAGCUACAAGUGCUCAAGGAUUCUCUGUUAUCUGUCCCAUAACUGGCAGGGUAAUUCAGAAAGAUCUCACGCAACUUUAUGCAGAUGGACAAGGACUGAUUGAUUCCAGACCAUUGCCUAGUUCCACCUCUGAAAUGUCUCUAAAGAACAAUGAGGAGCUUUUGGAAUCACAGGCUAUAAAGAAACUAAACUCAAUGCCUCGUUUGAGGGAUAGCGCAGAAGGGGAAGACAAUCAGCUCCUUGGGAAGAGGAUUACUGACAGCUGUGUGCAAACUGAUGAUGAGGAAGGGGAAGAGAGAUCAAUCAUAUCUCGACGGAGGAGAACUAGACAUAUUGUUGAUAGUUGUGUCCAGACAGAUGAGGAGGACCAAGAUGAGUGGGAGCAACCAGUGCGGCGCAGAAGAUCACGCUUUUCCAAGCACUCAAGCUUAGAGUCAAGCUUAGAGAACAAAGUUGACACAUCUAAAGUGUCUUCCCUGAAUGUUGCCAUUCAGACUAUAAAUGACUCUUCAUGUCAAACUGAACUAGAGCUUUUGAGAGGAAUCUCUCCUUCAAUUCAUAUAACAUCAGAGCCUAAAGUUGAAUUUUUGCACUACAUUUCUGCCCCAGAGAGGAAUCGACGGGGAGAAAGCCUUGCUUGUCAGACAGAGCCUGAGUCCCAGUCACAAGGGGUGGUUGUACCCCAGGUAAAUGUGUCCUCCACUGCGGACGCCCUCUCCUUACGAAUAACAGGAGCAAGUAAAUUUGAACGCAGAAAGCCAGAUCCCCUAGAAAUAGGUUUCCAAAACGAACCUGUCUCCAGCCUGGUUCGACAGCCUCCUAAGUCACCCCAGGUCUUAUACUCCCCUGUUUCUCCUCUGUCCCCACAUCGACUGCUAGAGAAUUCCUUCUCCUCCAGUGAGCGUCUCAACAAAGCUCACGUUCCUCCACAGAAGCACUUUUCAGUCGAUUCCCCAGAACACCACCAGACUCUGCCCCAUCCUAUAAAGAGCAUGCAGCGUUCUUUGUCAGAUCCUAAACCCAUCAGCCCUACAUCAGAAGAUCCUGCUCAGGCCAAGUUCUCCAUUUACCAGCAUCAAGCUCUCCUGAACAAGCAGCAGAGCUUGCCAACAAGGAAGGUGAAAAGGACCCUGCCUAGUCCACCUCCGGAGGAGAGCUCCCUUUCCAUCGUGACCCCUACCCACAAUUCCAUGUUUGCAUCUACAAAUAUGGCCCAGCCAGCACUCAAUGCCCCCAAGCCUGGGUUGCUGUGUGAUCUGAGGGUAGUGGAGCAGGAGUCCAGCAAGCUUCGCAAACAGCAGGCUGAACUAGAAGAGGAAGAGAAGGAGAUAGAUGCCAAGUUGCGGUGCUUGGAACUCGGCAUCACCCAGCGCAAGGAAACUCUGAUAAAGGAGCGGGAGCGGCGAGAGUUAGCUUAUGUCCGCUGCAUGGGUGAAUCCAGGGACUACGCAACAGACAGUGAGCUCACUACCCAACACUUGAGGGGGACGCCCUUUGACAGCAGUGUCUCCCUCCCAAGAAUUAGUGCAGCUUCUUUAAACCAGUUUACAGCUAAUCAAUUGCCCCCUGGCUCCUCCUUCCUCAGCUAUGACUACCAGCAGAGCCAACCUGGACCUCCUCCGCAGGACUCCUCUGCCUACCAGCAGAUAGGCUUCCAGCCCCCUCAGUACCAGACUGUCUCACUAGGUCAGCCUCAGCCUGGCACAUUUCAGCCCCAGUCCUCUGCUGCUGUGCUCCACCAGUCGCACAUCUUUCCCCAGAACCAGACUUCCUAUCAAACAAGUCUAUUACUACAGCAGAGUCAUACUGGGUUCCAGCCACCUCCUAGUUCUGCAUCUUAUGUAUCGCAGACCCUUCCAUUUUCUGAGGAGACAGGCCAGGGUAUUUCUCUGCAGCCACAGCCAAAGACCCAGCACCAGAAGCCUAGACAGACCUCUUUAGCUGAUCUAGAGCAGAAGAUGCCCACUAACUAUGAAGUCAUUAGCACUCCCCCUGUGGCAGCGGUCACCGCAGUUCUAGAAGACGUCUACAAUUCUGCUUACGCAUCCACCACUAUAUCUAACAUUUACGGGCAAUAUAGGCCACCAGAGCAGAGUCUCUCUGUCGAAAUCCAUUCUGCUGUUAACCCUUCACCUGCCUAUUCCUCAGAAGGCCACUAUACAAACCUAGAGCAAAACAUCCCCCGAAAUUAUGUAAUGAUAGAUGACAUCAAUGAGCUCACUAAAGAGAGCAGAGAUAUGUAUAGAACUGAUAGAAAUGGUGGUUAUGGGAACGUGAGCCAUUAUGGAAGGGCCAGUGAAAACCCUGAAGAUCUGUAUGAUCAUCAGGGUAGAGUUAGGGGGGACUACAAUUCACAUGUGGAUGGAUCCUCCUAUUACUAUGAUGACUACAGGUCAUCUUCAUGCACGCAUUCUAAGGGUCCAGGUGUCAUGUCAUCUAAACGUAACAAGCACAGGAAGCCGGGCAUGGAACAGAUCUCAAAGUUCUCGCCGAUUGAAGAAGCAAGGGACGUGGAGUCUGAUCUGGCCUCGUAUAACAUGGCUACAUCAAGAGGCAGCAGCACCAUUGCAUCUAGGGCCAGGAGGCUUCAGGAAGAUAUUACAUAUGGACUAAAGAAGAAUGUUUAUGAACAGCAGAAAUAUUAUGGCAUGUCCAGUCAUGAUGGCAUAGAAGAAGACAAUCGCAUGUAUAGUUCUGGACGGUCAAGGUCAACGGGCUAUGGGAUGGAUAAGAUUGCAUCCCGAGAAUAUGGCAGCUAUAGGAGCAAAUCAUAUGAGAUGAACAUUGAGGAACGUUCCCACAGGGGAAGUCGCAGGCGCUCCCAGAAUCUUGAUGAGAGCCCAAUGAAUGACUCACAAGGCCCGACUGGGCCAGAGUCACGUGAUAGGUACAAUCAAUAUGGCUCCAGUCACUCUUUGCCUGAUGUGCAGGACCGCACAAUGGACUUGCCGAGAAGCCACAUUUACAAACAAGAUGAUCCUAACCUGGUAGAUGACAUAAAUUGUGCUGUAUCUGAUAGUGAAGCGUAUCAUUUGGGACAGGAGGAGACAGAUUGGUUUGAGAAGCCGCGGGAGAGCCGCUCUGAACGCUCGAGACAUCAUAGCGGCAGUUCCUCAACUCACAGGAGGAGACACUCACAGCAUGAGUACGAUGAAUCCCUUGAGAAGGAACCCUUGCCGCAGGAUGACUAUGCUCAGCCGCGUUCCUCUUCAUCUGCAUCACAGGACCACGGGCAACAGGGAAGUAGCUCAAGAAGGCACUCCACCUCUUCCAGGCACUCAUGUGAUGACCUGCGAUCCUCCAGGUCUUCCAGAGAGCACACUAAUGACCCCUCUGUACAUCCGGAAUCUCGUGGGUCACCUUCCACAGCAAAGCGUAGGACUUCAGACUCUAGGUCCACACAGGACCACCCUUCUGAUCAGUCCCAGGAUCCAUCCGGCCACCACCAAGGUUCGUCUGGACCUAGGAAGCAAAAGCAGACAUCUUCGCCAUCUACAAAAAGACAUGAAAUGCAGCGCAUGGCAUCCACGGAGUCCAAGUCACAGUCGUCCAGUCCAAAGCACCGGGCCUCCAGUGGGCAACAGCCCUCUUCUCAACAGCAAGAAGGACAACAAGGGCAUGGGCAGCAAAAGCCACAGUCCAGGAGAGGGUCAGGGGCAGGAGCUGAGGCUGGGGCCGAGGCUCAGGCCGAGGCUGGGGCUGGUGUUGGGACAGCACAGUACCAGCAGUCCACACCUAGCCAGCCUCCAGCCCAGGCCCUGGCCCAGGUCCCAGUCCAAGUUCCAGCCCCGGCCCAAGCCCAGACCGAGGCCCCUGCCCCGGUCCAGGCCUCGGUCCAGGCCCCAGCUUCAGCUCAGGCCCCAAACCUUGCCCCAGACCCGGCCCCAGCUGAAGCUGAAGCCCAGGCCCACGCCCAAGCACAGGCUCCGGGGUCAGACCUGACCCCAGACCUAGCCCAAACCUCGGCUCCCACCCCAACCCCGACCCAAGCCCCAGCCUCAACUCCAGCUCCAGCCCAGGCCCAAGCCCCAGCCCAAGCACCAAGCCAAGCACAGCAGCCACAAUCUAGCCCCAAACGUACUCCAGUGGCAAAGACAGACCCUACACCUGAUGCUUCUAACCCGGGGAUAAAGCCAACAGGGUCUCAGCCUGCCAAAUCCCAGCCAGUGCCGUCCACGGGCAUAGGUUCCAGAGCUGCACCGAAUGCUGCGGGGCCUGCCAGUGCUGCUGCUGCUGGACAACCAGCCGCUGAAGGCGACAGUGUCUUUUCCAAAAUCCUGCCAGGAGGUGCAGCUGAACAAGCCGGCAAACUGGGUGAUGCCAUGUCAGCUAUUGGCAAGAAAUUCACUUCUUUCUGGUGAGCUUCGAAAGGAUCUGGUGAGAGAGAGCGACGCGAGGCUUCAUACUAGAAAAACCUAUGAUCCCACCUUAUCCUCCCCCACCCCAUCCAAGAAAGGCAGGCGGGGGCAGCAACUCCCAAGCAGUGAACCCAGGACCAGAGGGUCAAGGACAUGAACUUCCAGUGGGCUGCCAGCUGUCCACACAGCUGGGUACACACUCUGCAAACUGCCUCUGUGCUCUGGUACUUGGACUGUAUACUCUCUGCGUAAUCCAAAAGACAGGGAGUCGGAGAAUGUUAGCCGCCGAAAGCGCUCUGCAGUGCCUCUCUGUGGAACUUGUGUAUUAAUGCCUCCCACUUCUGGAAGUGCUUUGCAGUGCCCCCUAGUGUGACAUACAUCACAAUACAGCUCUGUCAUUGUCCUGUUCACACGAGCAAACAUUGGACUAGGUUUUUCACCCGAAUGCUCUGCCCCUGCCGCCUUCCUCUCUCUGUCCUGCAGGGUAGUGAGUCAUAGGUUUUUCUAGGGUUGAAGACCUCUUUCAUCAGAACACAAGAUGGCAUACGAAGGGAUUUUUUUUAUUACAACAGCAAGAAAAAAAUGUAUGGUGUUUGCUAAGUCUUACAGUCUUUACAUUCCAUUAGGGUAAUUAGCUUCAUUUUGGAUGUUUGAUGGUCCUUUCUGAAGUCGUACGUUGGACCCCCCCCCUGCAUGGGGUGCACGUUCUGACCUGGACCAGUCACUGUUCAACAUCUUCGACCUGGAGGCCAUAAGACUCUGACAGAUACAGCUGGAUGAAAGACAGGGGAGAAAAAAAUCUGGUCACAUGGCAGAGGUCUGUCUCCUCCCCCUGAGUCCGGGGGCGGGGCAGGAGGAAUAGUGUGGCCUUGUCCAUUGCCAAGCCAUUAACCUACCUAUCUGUGGGCUGUCUACGCUCACCACUCUCUUUUUCAUUUGUUAUUGUUUGCCUGAUUUUAUUUUCCGCAAUGGAAAGAAGCAGCCUUAACUAUUUCAUAUGUAUGUAUGUGUCUGGGUGUAUACUGCAGUUUUUUUUUAAACUCCAAUUAUUUACUUUGCAGAACUGUAUACUGCUGUAUAUAAUUCCCUACAGUUGUAAGAUUUAUUUAUAUUUUUUGGAAUUUUGUUUUGCUUUGUCGGUUGAUUGUUUGGUAUUUAUUUUUCAUGCGUCACGCUACUUUUGUUUGGUAUUGUCUGAAAGCAGUAGUCUGCUGGAAGCAGAUUAAGAGCAUGAUGGUUUUCAUCUGUACCAUGAAUACGGACAUUCCUCUUCGUAUCCUACGAAGGUAGGCUAACUGGACCAAAACACAUUAGGGACCAGUCUCAUUUACAGGUAAAGAAAGUAUGUCAGACUGGGAUUCAAACGUAUUGGGGACAUAUGGGCACACAGCAUUCCAGGCUGUAAUGGUGACCAGCUGGGAGCUGUCAGGGGUUUCAGUGAAAUCAUGACCCAGUUGGCCCAGUGAAAAGCGGCCAGUAUGCAUUGCAUAUGUGGAUAACUCACGCGUCACACACCUAGACGUUAAAGUCCUGCUCUUAUUUUAGCUUAGCAAGGUUUCCGAGUCAUUGGCCCUUACCAUUGCCUUCCCCGCAAUAACGUAUCUCCAAACCAGGCUGCAGUAUUGUUGGCUGUCAUGGAAACUGCGGUCCAUCUGCAUUAGUUAUUUUGUCACUGAAACCCAGUCCCACGCAUGCACUUGCAUGCAUGGAUGCAGGCAUGCACACACAUGCAUGCACAGACAGAUGUACAGACGCCCACCUAACAUACACACAGGUAUGCGUUUUGUCCUCUGUGAGUCCAGAAUGCUAUCCCAGCAUGCCCUUUCAGAAUCCAGCAGUGGCCUGGCUCCCUCUCCUCCAUGUGCUUCCUCCCACAACUGAACACAACAUGGAGAAGGGUUGGCAGAAAGCUGUUUUAAUUCCAAUGUUCUAUGCAAUAAUUCAUUCGAAACAGAAAAGGAAAAAAAUAACUUUUAAUGUUUAAUACCAUUGUUAAUAUUAUGUUUGAAAAUACAACUUAUGUUAUUAAAGAAUUCAAAUAAUGGAUAUGAACAUUUGAUAUGAACUACUUGUAUGUAUGGAUUUGCAUUACUGACUUAGAUUAUUUUUUUUUUAAGUUUUAGUAGCAUGCUCCAGUGCAGUCCUGUGGGACUCAUUGCCAAAGGGAUCAGUAUAUAGUUUGUACAAUUCUUUAGCUCGUAGUUCUGUGCAUGGUUCACUGGUCUAGCCCAUCGCACAUGUGGUCAGGAGAUGAACUCGUCGGUGGGAGCCUCGCCCAGCCAGGUGCCCCCCACCUCCUGAAAACUGCUGCAGGCUUGCGGUUGUGCUUAGAAAUAAGGAGGAUAUGUGCAAUAUUAUCUAAAUUCACCAUAUAUAUAUAUAUAUAUAUAUAUAUGAGAGAGAGAGAGAGAGAGAGAGAGUGAGAGAGAGAGAGAGAGAGAGAGAGACGUGUAAUAUAUAUUAUCUGAAUACACGGUAACCAUUGCUCUGGACAAGAAUUUCUUAAGAAAAAAAAUAAAUUCCUUUAAUGCAUCAUUUCAUGAGAUCAGUUUCCAAAGCCCUAAACAUUAUAUAUUUCAACAGUGACUUUAGUACCUUUUCAUCAUGUGACCUUGGUGAGGGCAUGUGAAUGUAACUCUGAAGGUUUCCAUCCGAUGUGUUCAAUAUGGUGCUUAUUGUCAGAGGAUGGCUCAAUGUUGUCCAAAUGCAUUGUGUUCUGUGCCCAACAAUUUAGUGUGACAUUUCCACCAAAUGGGAUCCCUGUUCUAUUUGGUCCUUCAUGGUAAUA